GAUGAACGCUAGCGGGAGGCCUAACACAUGCAAGCCGAGCGGUAUUUGUCUUUCGGGACAGAGAGAGCGGCGUACGGGUGCGGAACACGUGUGCAACCUGCCUUUAUCAGGGGGAUAGCCUUUCGAAAGGAAGAUUAAUACCCCAUAAUAUAUUGAAUGGCAUCAUUUGAUAUUUAAAACUCCGGUGGAUAGAGAUGGGCACGCGCAAGAUUAGAUAGUUGGUAGGGUAACGGCCUACCAAGUCAGUGAUCUUUAGGGGGCCUGAGAGGGUGGUCCCCCACACUGGUACUGAGACACGGACCAGACUCCUACGGGAGGCAGCAGUGAGGAAUAUUUGACAAUGGGUGAGAGCCUGAUCCAGCCAUCCCGCGUGAAGGACGACGGCCCUAUGGGUUGUAAACUUCUUUUGUAUAGGGAUAAACCUAGAUACGUGUAUCUAGCUGAAGGUACUAUACGAAUAAGCACCGGCUAACUCCGUGCCAGCCGCCGCUGUAA
rnacentral:rRNA from 1 species